rnacentral:piRNA from 1 species
UCCUUCAUUAUCGGGUCAAACAUGUUUCCU